rnacentral:rRNA from 1 species
GGACUUCGGUCCUGAGUACAGUGGCGCACGGGUGAGUAACACGUGAAUGAUCUACCUUCGAGUGGGGAAUAACUGGAAGAAAUUUCAGCUAAUACCGCAUAAUACCUACGGGUCAAAGAUUUAUCGCUUGAAGAGGAGUUCGCGGCAGAUUAGUUAGUUGGCGGGGUAAUGGCCCACCAAGACGAUGAUCUGUAUCCGGCCUGAGAGGGCGCACGGACACACUGGAACUGAAACACGGUCCAGACUCCUACGGGAGGCAGCAGUGGGGAAUUUUGCGCAAUGGGGGAAACCCUGACGCAGCAACGCCGCGUGGAGGAUGAAAUCCCUUGGGAUGUAAACUCCUUUCGAUCGGGACGAUUAUGACGGUACCGGAAGAAGAAGCCCCGGCUAACUUCGUGCCAGCAGCCGCGGUAAUACGAGGGGGGCAAGCGUUGUUCGGAAUUAUUGGGCGUAAAGGGUGCGUAGGCGGUUUGAUAAGUUUGGUGUGAAAUCUCUGGGCUCAACCCAGAGUCUGCAUCGAAAACUGUCGGGCUUGAGUAUGGGAGAGGUGAGUGGAAUUUCCGGUGUAGCGGUGAAAUGCGUAGAUAUCGGAAGGAACACCUGUGGCGAAAGCGGCUCACUGGACCAUUACUGACGCUGAUGCACGAAAGCUGGGGGAGCAAACAGGAUUAGAUACCCUGGUAGUCCCAGCCCUAAACGAUGAUUGCUUGAUGUGGAGGGUACCCAAUCCGUCCGUG